rnacentral:rRNA from 1 species
UACGGAGGGUGCAAGCGUUAUCCGGAUUCACUGGGUUUAAAGGGUGCGUAGGAGGGCAGGUAAGUCAGUGGUGAAAUCUUCGAGCUUAACUCGGAAACUGCCGUUGAUACUAUCUGUCUUGAAUACCGUGGAGGUGAGCGGAAUGUGUCAUGUAGCGGUGAAAUGCUUAGAUAUGACAUAGAACACCAAUUGCGAAGGCAGCUCGCUACACGAAUAUUGACUCUGAGGCACGAAAAGCGUGGGGGAUCAAACAGG